CGGUCCGCGCCCGCCCUGCCCCAGCCGAGGGCACCCGCGCGGCCAGGGCCGCAGCUGGGAGCCCCGCGCCUCUCGGACGGCCGCGCGACUCGGUGACCACCUCGGAGGCCUCAGUCUCGAGAAAAGUCACUGGCAGCACCAGUUUAAAAUCAAGCCUUGCGCCCUGGUGUUUGGCCUAUAACCUCCAUCUGACAUAUAACCUGCUUCCAUGUUAAGUGGAUCAAUCACACGCUUUUCUGGGACAGCAGUCUCGAUAUUCCACCUAACAUCCUCAGAAAUCUUUCUAGGAGCAGUGUGAGGAGGACAGACGAGCCCUCUGGACUGGCAAGGCCACCGGCCAAGUACUGCUGCCACCAUGCCCAAGAGAAAGGCAAAAGGAGAUGCUAAAGGUGACAAAGCAAAGGUGAAGGAUGAGCCACAGAGGAGAUCAGCACGGUUGUCCGCUAAACCUGCCCCCCCAAAACCAGAGCCCAGGCCUAAAAAGGCCCCUGCAAAGAAGGGAGAGAAGCUGCCCAAAGGGAGAAAGGGGAAAGCAGAUAGUGGCAAGGAUGGGAACAACCCUGCGAAAAACCGAGAUGCCGCCACAGUCCAGUCACAGAAAGCGGAAGGCAGCGGGGAUGCCAAGUGAAGUGUGCUAUUUUGAUAGCUCUGUACUUCUAGUGACUCUGCUGUUUGAAAUACUGUUUUUUUUCAAAUCAACUUUUAUAAAAAUGUAGAAUUUUGUUUUUCUUUUUAAGUUAUAUUGUUAGCACACAGGACACUUAGUUGUCUUUUGUGGAAAGGGCAAAUACCACUAACAGAGUGUUUCAGAAGCUGGAUUAAAAUGGAGGAAAAUAGUAUUUUCUGUCCUCAUUUUUGAAGAUUAUUCUUGGUCCCCGGGAGAGAUUCUCUGACAUUCACACACGAGUCAGUCACUUUGGCUCAGACGCCUUACAGUGUGUGGAAGCAAAACUUCAUGUCUUUGCCUUUCCUGAUACCAUCAGCAUAUAUUUGACUUUCUGAACCCAAGAGUUAUGGUUUCAGAAAACCAGCAUCCCUAAAAUCAGCUGUGUUGGGUAAUAAUCCUCAGGCCUUCUGAUGAAGACAUCGACAUGGUGUUGCUCAAAAGAGCCAAGAUUCCUGUUUGCAAUUUGUGGAUCAUCCCAUUGAUAAUCCUGGAGUUUGUAGUUUUCUCCAAGUCAGAAAUGACCUGUGAAAAGCUCUUACAUGCCUCAUGUGAAAUAUCCACCCCUUCUGACAACUUUGCCUGUUCAAAGCAGGAACAGAAGACUUUGUUGACUUUUUGGGGAGGGGUGUUUGGAAGUUGUAAAAUGUUAUGGAUUGUCACCUAUGUCCUGCUGGAAAUAACUGUUUUUGAAAAGUAUCUUAUGGAGCUGUAUACAAGUUGGCUUGGUGGAAGGGGGGGAUCAUUUCCUACCCAAAGUCAUAAAGAUAUUCUUUACUGCCUUGUAAAAGUUUUACAGUUUUGCUUUUCAUACGUCUUUAGUCUUUAGAACUGGUUUUUGUGAAAAGUAUGAGAUAGAAGUUCAAUAUAAUAUAUUUUCCAUAUAGAUAAGUGGUUGUUGCAGCACCAUUUUCUGAAAAGUUCAUCCUUUCCUCACUGACCUGUAACACUGUCUCUUUCAUAAAUCAAGUUUGUGUGUUUGUGUGGGUCUCUUGAUGGUUUCUGUUCUGACUCACUGGUCAAUUUGUCUAACCUGUGGCAGUACUAUACAAUCCUGAGUAUGACAACUUUAGAAAAAGGUCUUGAUAUCUCAGGACAAAUCCCACCUCCACCUCCAACAUCAUCACCAAAUUUUUCUUCCUUGAGAGUAUCUUGGCUAUUUUUAGCCAUUUGCUUUUCCAUACAAUUUCUAGAAUUAGAUUGAGAAGUUCUAAAUCAAACAAAAAAAAUGUUGGAAUUUUUAUUAGAUUUAUGGAUUAAUUACAGUGUUGAAUCUUCCAAUCCAUGAACAUGGUAUAGCAUUUAUUUAGGCUUUUUAAAUGUCUUUCAAUAAAGUUUUAUAAUUUUCUCCAUAAAUGUCUUCUUUUGUUAAUAUUUCCUGGGGACUUUAUACCUUUUGAUGCUCUUUUAUGUGGUAUAUUUUAGUUACUACAUUUUCUGGUUUUAGCUAAAGUUGAUUUUUGUAUCCAGCAACCUUGCUAAACUCUCAAUUCUUAUAUGUCUGUAUACUUCUUUGGGUUUUCUGCCU
rnacentral:lncRNA from 1 species